rnacentral:rRNA from 1 species
GUUGUAUGGUUAAGUGACUAAGCGUACACGGUGGAUGCCUGGGCAGUCAGAGGCGAUGAAGGACGUACU